UCCUACGGGAGGCAGCAGUGGGGGAUAUUGCACAAUGGGGGAAACCCUGAUGCAGCGACGCCGCGUGUGGGAAGACGGUCCUCUGGAUUGUAAACCACUGUCCCCAGGGACGAAGAUGACAGUACCUCAGGAGGAAGCUCCGGCUAACUAUGUGCCAGCAGCCGCGGUAAUACAUAGGGAGCAAGCGUUAUCCGGAUUUAUUGGGUGUAAAGGGUGCGUAGACGGGAAAUUAAGUUAGUUGUGAAAUCCCUCGGCUUAACUGAGGAACUGCAACUAAAACUGAUUUUCUUGAGUACUGGAGAGGA
rnacentral:rRNA from 1 species